rnacentral:rRNA from 1 species
GACGAACGCUGGCGGCGUGCUUAACACAUGCAAGUCGAACGAAGUGGCGCACGGGUGAGUAACGCGUAAUCCACCUGCCCUUCAGAGGGGGACAACAGUUGAAAACGACUGCUAAUACCGCAUACUGAAGGAGGGGAUUGCGUCUGAUUCGCUGGUUGGAGGGGUAACGGCCCACCAAGGCGAUGCUCAGUAGCCUGGUCGGGAGGGUGAACGGCCACAUUGGGACUGGGGAACGGCCCAGACUCCUAAGGGAGGCAGCAGUGGGGAAUGUUCCGCAAUGGGCGGAAGGCUGACGGAGCACCGCCGGGUGAGUGAUGACGGCCUUCGGGUUGUAAAGCUCUUUUAAUCGGGACGCGGUACCGGAAUAGAAAGCCACGGCUAACCACGUGCCAGCAGCCGCGGUAAUUC